UACGUAGGGUGCGAGCGUUAUCCGGAUUCACUGGGUUUAAAGGGAGCGCAGGCGGAUUGGUAAGUCAGUGGUGAAAGGCUUGAGCUUAACUCGGGAACUGCCAUUGAUACUAUCAGUCUUGAAUAUUGUUGAGGUUUGCGGAAUGGGUCAUGUAGCGGUGAAAUGCAUAGAUAUGACCCGGAACACCUAUUGCGAAGGCAGCAGGCUAAACAAAGAUUGACGCUGAGGCUCGAAAGCGUGGGGAUCAAACAGG
rnacentral:rRNA from 1 species